CUCUAUUAUGUAAAUGUAUACCACAUUUUUUUUAUCACUUUAUUGGUUAAUGGGCCCCUGGGCUGGUUUUAACUCACAUUUAGACUUUAAACAUAAAUUAGGUUUAUUUAUUGAUAUUUUUAUCUCAACUAUUUUGUACAAAUAUAAAGGAAUCAUUCAUUUACUUUAUAACAUUUAACAUACUAAGUUAUUCCCAAUUAUUUAACACUAUGUACAAAUUUAUCUAUUUUCUUAGAAUUUUAAAAAUAAAUUUGAUUGUUUUAAACAUUUAGGCAAUAUUUUAAAUUUAAAGAAUAGAUUUUCUUCCCAGGCACCUAAACAACUCCUGCAAAUUAAUAAACUGCUUUUUAAAAUAAGCAUAUCAAGUUCUCAAAUUGUAAGCAUCUCAAAACUAGACAACAUAUAUAGAACUAUCUAAUUGCAAGACUUGCUAGCACAGUUGCAUAAAGGAUUCUUGCAUUAAUAAAAUAUCAGUAUAAUAUUUUCUUUCUUCAUACCUACAAUGUGCCUUCCUAGAGUACACAUGCUAAUAAAAAGUCUAUGAGGUACCACAAUUUUCUCCUUUAAUAACUGAAACCAAAAUAUGGAUGCUAAUUAGGUAGCUUAAAUAAUGUGGCACUGAUCAAGGCCUGUCUGUAAAUUCAGUGCUCACCCAGAUGUAGAGCCUGGGUCCCUUUCCAGGACUGACCUGACAGCUGUUGAGGUAGUGCUGUUUUUAGGUUCAGACUUUGGUUUUUGAAAUUGCAGUAUAUCUUAAUUCAGUCUAGUUCAGGUUUUUGUAACCCACUAUUUUACCUUAACACAGGGUAUCACUUCAUUCCAUUGUUAUAUUUCUCAAAACUCAUGAUAAUGGGACUUUCUGACUUCUCUGUUCUGACCACAGCAUUAUCUUCUUAAAUACUAGCUAAAUGAAUCCCUCACCUGGGUUGCAAUUUUACUUCCCUUUCUAUUUUAUAAUUCUUUCUUUGAAAUUUACUUUUCACUAGCACAUACAACAUUUUUACCUGUUUAUGUACAGUGUGACAAUUGUUGUAUAAUUUAUUCUUUCAGUGACUGGGAUUCAAACUGGGGCCUUGCACAUGCUAAGCAUACACCCUACUGCUGAACUAUAUACUUGUAACAUCUUUAACCACAAUAUUAUGGUCAUUUUACUGACAGAAUGAUACCAUUAUUGUUUUGGAUGAUCUUAUCUAAUUGUUAUGUAUUAAUAUAUUUUUGUCAUAUAGUUGGAAGAAAAGUUACUGAGUACUACUUAUCUUGCUUAUAUAAUGAUGAGUAAUUUCUUUGGCCCAAUUAUACUACUUAUGUUUUUAUGUAAUUAUUUUAAAGGUG
rnacentral:lncRNA from 1 species